GCCCCCUUGGCACUGCUCUCACAGCGUCAGCAAUCACUUCUGAAAUAAGAUUUGAAAAUUUUACACACGGUCGUAGUGCAAGGUCCACAAAAGGUCCUUCGUUCCAGCAAAGGGGUCGUUUACAUUUCAAGUUAUCAGUUUUCAUCAAACCUGACACCUGGUAUUUAAAUGUCGGGUCAGAUACUCGCGGUCUGAGCAACGCAAG